rnacentral:rRNA from 1 species
UACGUAGGGUGCGAGCGUUGUCCGGAAUUACUGGGCGUAAAGAGCUCGUAGGUGGUUUGUCGCGUUGUUCGUGAAAUCUCACGGCUUAACUGUGAGCGUGCGGGCGAUACGGGCAGACUAGAGUACUGCAGGGGAGACUGGAAUUCCUGGUGUAGCGGUGGAAUGCGCAGAUAUCAGGAGGAACACCGGUGGCGAAGGCGGGUCUCUGGGCAGUAACUGACACUGAGGAGCGAAAGCGUGGGGAGCGAGCAGG